rnacentral:lncRNA from 1 species
CCUGGCUCUGCCUGACCUCUACUUCAAGCCGCUUGGCCUGGCACGGGCAGCCCAGCCUUCUCCCUGCCCCAGGGUCCUUGUCUGAGGAUUGUCGGAACCACUGCCCGGUUUAUCAUAAGGACCAAGUGAGCUCUGCUGAAGCCUGUGCCUGGCUCCCAGGAAGUGCCCAGUGCACUUGUGUCACUGUGGUGGCUCACACGGCACAGGCCCUGGCAGGGUUGCCUGAGAGCAGAGAGACCCCUUGUGUCCCCACAUGGACUGGCACAGGCUAGCAGGGCCCAGGCUGCCAAGCUCUGGGUACUUUGCAGCAUGGAGGGCUCAGGACGGUACUCGGAGCUGCAGACAGAGUACAGGUGCUGUGGCCACACCAGCCACGGGGUUUAUUUAGGUCGAGCAUUGCAGGCCCCUGGUUAAACGACACGUCCGUCUCCACUCUGCAGGCCCUGUGUUGAGAGGAUUCCAUGUCUCUUCAAGUUUCCAUGGCUCACGAGCUUGGUUUUGUUAUGUCCAAGUAAUUUGCUCCUGUAAUUCAGCCUGGAUGGUUUAUUAGUUUUGUUUUGCAGCCUGUCAAAGUUUCUACCUUACUAUGUUUGCUUUCCAGCUUCUUCUCCUCUUUUUUUUUUUUGGUGCUGGGAAUUGAACUCAGGACCUUUUGCUUGGCAGGCAAGGCCUGGUGCCUCUAAGCUAAGUCCCCGGCCCUUCCAGCAGAUUCUUAAACAUUCCAACAUGUCAAAUUUCAAAAACUCUGCAGGAGUUUUCCCUGACAGUGGUUAUUUAUUUUUGAAGCAAACUACUACAUUGUAAUUUCUUUUUUUUAAUUCUUUUUAUUUUUGAGACAGGGUCUCGCUUUGUAGUUCAGCUGGUUGGGAACUCACUAUGUAGCCCAGGCUGGCCUCCAGCUCUCAGCUGUCCUCCUGCCUCAGCCUCCUGAGUGGGAUUACAGUGCCAGUCAAUAGAAAGCAAUUUUUACAGCACUGGAGAUUCAGCAAGAUUGAAUAGGGGUUAUUUUUGGUUUCACGUGGACACCGUCAUCCGAGAAACACAAAAGAAGAUCACAGCAGUGAGUCUAGGCGGCAGAGGCCACUGCUGCCCCUGGGACCAGGGCUGGUUCUCUGCGCCUGCUGCUCUCCCCUCAGAGGGGUCCUUGCUGCCCCCGCCUGCCGAGGCCCGCAAGGAUGGAAUGGGACGGAGCCCUCUCCUGUGGCAGGUGCUGCACAAGGGGGACACCUUUCCCACCGCUGUGGGUCACACCCUGGGGCCAGGAGGCCACGAGCAUGGAUGGAGCAGCGGCGGCCCCUGCCACCUUCCACUCCCCUGGCUUGGCGUGUCGCCCCUCCUGAGAGGCCAGUCCUGCAGCUGCGCUCUGGUGGCCCUGCUGCUCUUCCUGCUGCUCUUCCUGCUGCCCACCUCCCUUCCUCCCG